rnacentral:lncRNA from 1 species
AAAGUAUUCAGUUCCAAUGGGAUAUGAUACUUAUCUUAUUAGUUUUCUUUACACUUAUGUGUUUAAACUGAGUAAACAGGUUUGGAAAGAACAACACCCGCUUGUACUGGAACAUGGAAGCACCGCUCCACUUGACUCUCCUAAUUUAAGGUAAAAAUAUUUUAUCAUUCUAUUAAUUUUUAAAUAUAAGACAAAUAACUGCAAAAAUAGAGAAAAGGAAGGGUGGAUGUAAGAGAGUUAUUGGAUUUUGAAUUUGGAGGUUGGAGAAAGAGGGAAGAGAGGGUAGGUCUAGGUCUAGGUCAUAAAUUAUUAUUUUUAUAGGUUCUAAAUAUAUAUAUUUAUAGGGAAAUGAUCCAUAGCAUCUAUUUGCUAUGGAUCAAAAAUGAACAAAUAACAUCAUAACCUUUUAUCUCAAAAAGUAACGGAUGUGAUUCAAAAACUGAUUCUAUCGUCCGCUAGUUAAACUAGCGGACUGAUUUAAAAUAUAUUUCGGACUAUUAUGUCCCAAGUCAAGCUUUAAAAUCAAGAUUUUUAAAAGGUCCGCUAGUCAGUCUAGCGAAUGACUUGCAUCUUAUGUUUUUAAAUCCAACCAACCAUUUAAUAAUUCUAAUUUUGUUUCGUUCACUUAGGCUUGACUUGAGGCAUAAUUGUCCAAAAUAUAUUUUAAAUCAGUCCGCUAGUUUAACUAGCGGACGACAAAAUCAAUUUUUAAAUCACAUCCGUUGCUUUUUGAGAUAGAAGGUUAUGAUGUUAUUUGCUUAUUUUUGAUCCAUAGCAAAUAGAUGUUGUGAAUUAUUACCCUAUAUAUAUAUAUAUAUAUAUAUAUAUAUAUAUAUAUGUUGAUAAAGCAAUAUGUAAAAUUGUUUCCUUAUCAUAUCUCAAUGUUGCGAAAUCUUGCAUUAAUGCAUAUGCUAAAAUAAUUUAAAAAAUUUUAUAUAUAAUAUUAUAAGACCCGUUUUGACUUUCCGAUAUACACAAGAAUCUCUAAAAAUUUUUUUUGCUAAUUUCUACACACACGCACACCACACUCACACACUCAAGAAUUGAAAUAAUCGAACACUUGACCCCAUGGAAACCGUAAGGCAAGAGUUACGAGAAUCUCUAAAUAUCACAAAAAAAAUAAUUUAUUUUUACAUGAAUUUCUCUCAUUUGAAUGUGAGACUCAUUCACUGCGCACACAAAAUUGUAUUUGUCAAUUCAUUCAUAUUUUGAUAAAAUUGUCUUGUUUGAUAAGUAAACGCAAAGAAUAUGAAUAAAGAAACUGAUAUUUCUACGUGUUAAAAUAAUAUUUUACACGAGUCUCUCUCACAUUUAGGUGGGACACUCACUAUUCAUAUGAGAAAAAUCAUAUGGAAAUAUUAGUUCCCUAUGAAUAAAUCUCAUUCAUGUUUUAAUAAAAUUUGCGUCUUUUUUCAUCCUCCACAAAACAAUAAAGAACAUGAAAGGUUUACUUCAAAAUAAAGAUUUCUAAAUAGUUUUGACAAAAUGUGCACAAAUAAAACAUAUAGUUGUAGCCGUUAAUCCAUACAUUGUAAGGACCAGAAUAAAAUAAUUGAACCCCCUACCGUUACAGCUUGUAGCAGCAGUCGAUUAAAUCCAAAUUAGCUGGCCAUUUACAUAAUUGUCCCUCCUCAAUAUUUAAUACCCCUGCCGCUACAGGCUCCCUUGGCCAAUCCCAAAUUUUCACUCUCCAAAUUACGAUACAAUGCACAAAAUGUAAAAAGAUGCAAAAAGCUACUUACAACUUUUAAAAGGAUGUUGAUUGCUCACCGCUCCUGCCGUUACAGGCUGUAGCGGCAGCUCUUCCCCCCUUCUAAUGUAUUCUUCCUUAUUCACUUUCUCUCUCAUUUUCCCUUCCCCUGCCACUCUCUCAUAUUCCUUCCCCCCUGCCGCUAAAUCAAGUUCCAUUCAAGCAACAAAAGAGAGAAAAUAGAGAGAAAGAAAAAGAGAUUGAUCAUCAACUAUUUUCUUGCUUCUGAUUAUCUACAAAGUUUCAGAUUCAAGUAUCAAUUUAGUAAGAUUUAUUUGCCCAAUUUUCAAUAAAAAUAAAUAAAUAUUAUUAUUAUUUUGUAAAAAUGUAUUUAUGAUAAAAUAGAAGUUUAAACUUUUAUGAGAAAUUAUCAACCAUUACUAUGUCUACAUAUAUGCAUGUGAAUUUUUGGAAAAUUCUGUGAUUUAUGUGUUUGGGCAAUUAUAUAACUAUGUGGUGAAGUAGUUAUUAUGAUUUUUCACUUAUUAUUAAAUAGUUUUGAAUAAUAAUUGUAAUGGAGUAUUGUUUUAUUAUGAAUGUUUAUUUUGACAAAAUAUAGUGAGUUAUGUACGGGUAAAUAUAUUGUUAUGUGAUGAAAAAGUUAUUAUUUUAAUGUUGUGUAUUAUUUUAUCUUCAUGAAUUUGUUAAAUUGUUGUGCAUAAUAAUUGGAAGGGAGUGGUAUUUUAUUAACUGCAAAUAUUGAAUUGUGUUUGGGACAUUAUAUACAUGUAAUGAUGUAUUAGGACUAAUAAUAAUGAUUAAUGAUUAUGAAAAUUUUGAAAAAUAAAAUCAUUUAAAUAAUUGUAAAAAAAAUAAUAUUGAAUUAUAUUUGGGACAUUAUAAUGAUUAAUGGGAUAUAAUUUUGUUACAUAGUUAUUAAAUUAUAUGAAAAACCUUUUAUGUUAUUUUUUUAGGUACUAGAUGAAUAAUUGGAAUUAUGGACCAAUUGACCUAAGUGUUCUUUACGACCAACAAAAUCACGUGUCAGGUAUAUGACAUAAAAGACAGGGGAAGACUACUCACAAGUCAAUUAACUGAAAAAAAUACGAUCAAUGGAUAUUAACAAAAGCUCAAAAAAAUCUUCUACAAAAAUGUGGGGUUGACAUUUUUAACUAUCCGACAGUUGUACCACAAACUGACAUUGGGCUCGUGUCUGCCCUGGUGGAGCGAUGGCGGCCGAACACCAAUAGUUUUCACCUAAAUUAUGGAGAAAUUACAAUAACUUUAGAGGAUGUACACUUCACUCUUGGGUUGUCGGUGGUUGGCAAACCCUUAACUUGUCCAUUAUUUGACACUCCACCGGAUCAUUUUAAAGAAUGUUUUGGUAAUGAAGUCGUCGCUAAAUAUCAGGAAUAAAAAAACGCAGCUCUAUUUCAUUACUGUGGUUGCAGGAGCAUUUUAAUAAUUGUUCGCCUAAAGCAAGUAAGGAAAUUUUGAAAGGCCUACAUUCUUUGGUUGUGUGGGGCAAUAUUGUUCCCCACUAGGAAUAAAAAUUAUGUUCAUCCCAAGUAUAGUUAUGAUUUAACGUCCGUCCACUUUUUUGGACGGAAUGAUCCAAUUAAGAAAUUUUAAAAUUUUUAGUGGGUUAAUUACAUUUUUUUAAAGUACAGUGGCUCAAUACUUACAACUCGACAAACACAGUGGGGUAAACCCUUUUUAAAUUGAGUAAUCUUGCAAAAAUCAAUAUAAUAACCUACAAAAAAAAUUCCCAAAAAGUAAAUACAUUUGCAUCAAUAUUAUAUAUCAUUCAGUUAAAAGCAAAAAAGGACAAAUUCUACUUUUUAAUACCUUUGGUGCAAAAAGCUUUUCAUGCUUGAAUAUAUCAACAAUGAACCGAUUUCGUCCAAUAGAAUCUCUAUAUACUUCCAAUCUUUGGCUUACAUUAACAGUGAAUUCUACAUUUCAAAAAUUUCACUUAACCAUCACAAGAACAAUGUGCUCCUUAAAUUAAAAGUGAUUUUUACAUUACAAAUUCUUCAUUCAACACAACCAUAUUGAGAAUAACAAAUUAAAUACAUAAAACCUCACUCACAAUUCUUACUAUGCAAUGAUUAUUAUAUGUAGUUUUAAUCAGUAACUACAAUCAACACAACACAAUCAUGCUGAACCAACAAAAAUAAUUAUUGUAUUUCAAACCAAUGUCUAACCACACUUUUGCUCAUAUCUUAAACAACUCAUACACAACCAUAAAUGAAUCCAUAAUAGAAAUAGCAACAUGUUGUUGCUUUUUGGAAUGCUUGAAACAACUUGUUGCUUUAUGCUGUUGCUUUUUUGAAUACUUGAAAAUUUGUUAUUUUAUUUUGUUGCUUUUUAGAUCAAUAGCUACUAUGCAUUGAUGGACAUGAGAUUUUUGUUCAUAAGUUUUGGAUAUAUCGAUAAAUUUUGUAGCAUGUUUCAUGGGUAUAGCCUCUUUAUAGGUUGCAACUUGUUUUCCUUGUACUUUCUUCUUUUGGGGAAUUUUAUCUUUAACAACGAUCAUUCUUUCACGUUUCAGGUGCGACUUUGAUUCACUUUGCGGCUGUAUUAACUGAUUGUCCUACAGGGACUUCAAUACCUGCUAGAGUAUUAGCAGCUAGAAUGUGAGAUAUCACUAUUUUCUUAUUAUCGG